rnacentral:rRNA from 1 species
UACGGGGGGAGCAAGCGUUGUUCGGAUUUACUGGGCGUAAAGGGCGCGUAGGCGGCGCGGUAAGUCACUUGUGAAAUCUCUGAGCUUAACUCAGAACGGCCAAGUGAUACUGCAGUGCUAGAGUGUGGAAGGGGCAAUCGGAAUUCUUGGUGUAGCGGUGAAAUGCGUAGAUAUCAAGAGGAACGCCUGAGGUGAAGACGGGUUGCUGGGCCAACACUGACGCUGAUGCGCGAAAGCCAGGGGAGCAAACGGG